AGCGAACGCUGGCGGCAGGCCUAACACAUGCAAGUCGAACGAACCUUUCGGGGUUAGUGGCGGACGGGUGAGUAACACGUGGGAACGUGCCUUUAGGUUCGGAAUAACUCAGGGAAACUUAUGCUAAUACCGAAUGUGCCCUUCGGGGGAAAGAUUUAUCGCCUUUAGAGCGGCCCGCGUCUGAUUAGCUAGUUGGUUGAGGUAAUGGCUCACCAAGGCGACGAUCAGUAGCUGGUCUGAGAGGAUGAUCAGCCACAUUGGGACUGAGACACGGCCCAAACUCCUACGGGAGGCAGCAGUGGGGAAUCUUGCGCAAUGGGCGAAAGCCUGACGCAGCCAUGCCGCGUGAAUGAUGAAGGUCUUAGGAUUGUAAAAUUCUUUCACCGGGGACGAUAAUGACGGUACCCGGAGAAGAAGCCCCGGCUAACUUCGUG
rnacentral:rRNA from 1 species